rnacentral:tRNA from 1 species
UCUUUAUUAAUAUAAAUAGUAUAUUUAACUUCCAAUUAAAAAGUUUAAAUUUAAAUAAAGAAA